rnacentral:rRNA from 1 species
AAUGUCUGGGAAACUGCCUGAUGGAGGGGGAUAACUACUGGAAACGGUAGCUAAUACCGCAUAACGUCGCAAGACCAAAGAGGGGGACCUUCGGGCCUCUUGCCAUCGGAUGUGCCCAGAUGGGAUUAGCUUGUUGGUGGGGUAACGGCUCACCUAGGCGACGAUCCCUAGCUGGUCUGAGAGGAUGACCAGCCACACUGGAACUGAGACACGGUCCAGACUCCUACGGGAGGCAGCAGUGGGGAAUAUUGCACAAUGGGCGCAAGCCUGAUGCAGCCAUGCCGCGUGUAUGAAGAAGGCCUUCGGGUUGUAAAGUACUUUCAGCGGGGAGGAAGGGAGUAAAGUUAAUACCUUUGCUCAUUGACGUUACCCGCAGAAGAAGCACCGGCUAACUCCGUGCCAGCAGCCGCG